rnacentral:lncRNA from 1 species
CUGAAGUUCAGACGUGUGCUCUUUUGAUCUUGUCACAACAACAAGAAGCGGCAAGACAACAACAAGAAGCUGCUGCUCGACAACAGCAACAACUAAUCCAGCUGCUUCAAGAGCAACAGGAACAACGGAGGCGAGAAGGGGAGGCUCGAG